rnacentral:rRNA from 3 species
AAUCCAUAGGUUAAUGAGGCGAACCGGGGGAACUGAAACAUCUAAGUACCCCGAGGAAAAGAAAUCAACCGAGAUUCCCCCAGUAGCGGCGAGCGAACGGGGAGGAGCCCAGAGCCUGAAUCAGCAUGUGUGUUAGUGGAAGCGUCUGGAAAGGCGCGCGAUACAGGGUGACAGCCCCGUACACAAAAGCGCAUGUGCUGUGAGCUCGAUGAGUAGGGCGGGACACGUGGUAUCCUGUCUGAAUAUGGGGGGACCAUCCUCCAAGGCUAAAUACUCCUGACUGACCGAUAGUGAACCAGUACCGUGAGGGAAAGGCGAAAAGAACCCCGGCGAGGGGAGUGAAAAAGAACCUGAAACCGUGUACGUACAAGCAGUGGGAGCACAGGUUUACCUGUGUGACUGCGUACCUUUUGUAUAAUGGGUCAGCGACUUAUAUUCUGUAGCAAGGUUAACCGAAUAGGGGAGCCGGAGGGAAACCGAGUCUUAAUUGGGCGUUAAGUUGCAGGGUAUAGACCCGAAACCCGGUGAUCUAGCCAUGGGCAGGUUGAAGGUUGGGUAACACUAACUGGAGGACCGAACCGACUAAUGUUGAAAAAUUAGCGGAUGACCUGUGGCUGGGGGUGAAAGGCCAAUCAAACCGGGAGAUAGCUGGUUCUCCCCGAAAGCUAUUUAGGUAGCGCCUCGUGAA